UUUUUUUUUUUUUCCCCUGUAGAAAUCCUGCCCAUUCCUGCUUAUGUAUUAAGGGGAUUUGGGUCGUCGUUUCAAGGAAGUUAAGGAUAAAGGAAACAUUUCAGUUUCCACAGUGUUGAUAAAGAAUUGCAGCACGUUAACAAGGUGUAUCAUUUAUAGCUUCUUUUUUUUUUUUUUGAGACAGAGUCUCGCUCUGUCGCACCCAGGCUGGAGUGCAGUGGUACGAUCUCAGCUCACUGCAAUCUCUGCCUCCCAGGUUCAAGCGAUUCUCCCGCCUCAGUCUCCCAAGUAGCUGGGAUUACAGGUGCCUACCACCAUGCCCAGCUACUUUUUGUAUUUUUAGUAGAGAUGGGGUUUCACCAUAUUGGCCAGGCUGGUCUCGAACUCCCAGCCUCAAGUCAUCUGCCCAGCUCAGCUUCCCAAAGUGGUGGGAUUACAGGUGUGAGCCACUGUGCCCAGUCUAGAGCUUCAUUUUAAUUCGCAUCACUGUCACAUGGCAGUAAAUGCUAGGCCUUUUCACAGCUGCUUGCUUUAUAGGAAAUCUCUAUGGAGUCUUUAUUAGGAGCCUGUUGCACUGCUUUUGAAAGGAAAUGCAACUUUAUGUUCUUUUUACACUCAGAAGUCUGAAAGUUACAUUGUUUUUUAAGAGUUUUUUUAGUUCUGCUGCACAGAGCAGAACUAACUUUAAUUACCAUCUCCAGGUGUCAACAAUGAGAGAAACGCAGGAAGUCGCAACUUCUGAGAUGAGAGAAGCUUUUUAGGUAACUAUGAGGUGUUUUAAAAAGUACGUUGUCUCUUUGGUAAGUGGAGUUUCCCAACUCCUAUUCAAUGAUCUGUCAAAGUUACAAUGCACAGGAAAGAUGCAUUGAGACAACUGUACUUGUCUGAGAGGGAAACAAAAAUGUGUUUUUUGAUGAAUCCUUCCAAAAUAGGUCAAAUUGAAGCUGCUUUGAGGCACCAAGUGAGGAAACUUGAUUUUAGCCUUUUUUUUUUCUCCCUCUCAGCUGUAGUUAUUCUAGGUGACAAAGAACAAAUUAUGUUAAGAGAGGUUGACAUUUUUAGGAGCUGCUUUUCAAAACAUAGAAACCAACAUUCUUCUUAUUGGCUGACUUACGUUUGAAUGUAUGUUUGCCUUGGGUUAGGAGAUACAGCCUCUCUAAAAAGAUGUGGCUCUUCCAUCAUCAGGCAGCUCUUUCUAAGGAAUGAUUAACCUGUCAGAUAUAUUUUCUUCUCUUUAGUAACAAACCAACGUUCCCCUUUCCAUGCACCCAUUUGCUACGUCUCCAUCCUACUCUGUUAAGAUAAUGACUGUCUCUUGGAUUCCAGGCCUUCUCAUAGACCUGUCUUUCCACUGUCCAGGAGCAGCUUCUUUGCGUUCCAAAAUCUAAUCAGAGAGCAAAUUCACUCCGCAAAUAUUUCUUUUCACAACUGUUUAUUGAAGGACAGUGUGUUACGGGCUCUGUGCUAGCUGCUGGAAUAGAGCUGUGAACCACGUGGAGAAAGAUCCCUACCCUAUAGGAGCUUACACUCAGGGAAAAGGGGAAUCAACUUCCUUGAUGAAAGUGAAGUUGGUCUAUUUAAAUUCUUCUCUAGCUUUCUCAUUCCAACAUGUGUACCUGUGCAGUUCAAACAGAUCCUACAGAAACUGGGACAGAAUUCCUGUUAAGAGAAGAUUGCGUUCACUGUGCUGGAGCAUUUGUUACUCAGAGCCAAAAAGUUCUUUCUGUUGUAGAUGCCUUAGUCUUAUCAAGAUUCUACGAGAAGAGGGAGCCUGAAACAUAAUCCUUCUCACUGCCAUUUCCGUAUCUCUGCCCUAAGGCCUUUGUUUUAAAUUCUAGAAGGUGAAAACAAUUCAGAAACAUAAGUGAUUAAUGGCACGAAGGACUGAUUUAUGGGAAAGGAUCUUAGGAGA
ensembl:lncRNA